rnacentral:rRNA from 1 species
UAAUGACUCUCGGCAACGGAUAUCUCGGCUCUCGCAUCGAUGAAGAACGUAGCGAAAUGCGAUACUUGGUGUGAAUUGCAGAAUCCCGCGAACCAUCGAGUCUUUGAACGCAAGUUGCGCCCGAAGCCAUUAGGUCGAGGGCACGUCUGCCUGGGCGUCUCACA